AAAUUCUUCUAAAGUCACAUAUGAAAUAUUCAAUGUCAAAUUUAUCUCUAUGAACGAACAUGAAGAGCAAUUGGCAUAUACCUAUAUUAAGACCAAAACAUGUGUUACAUCAUAUAUAUACAUAUAUAUGGGAUUAUAUACAUAUUAUAUACAUAUUUUAUCUCACCAUGGUGACUUUAAAUGUCUCUGUAUUUCCAAAUUUGUAAUCAAAUAACCCACCAAUAAGCUGAGAAUGAAACUUACCUAUAUACACAAGCAAUCCUAUCUAUAAUGUCCUACUUGAUAGCUGCGAUCGGUAUUACGGUACCUAAUAACUCUUCAUCUGAUGAAAUCUUUGAUUAGACUACUAGCAGCGAAAACUAACAACAGUGACCUUGAUCUAAGAAAAAUUGAGGAAGGGCCGACUUACUCUGGUGUUUAUUCAUUCCAAGUAUUGAUACAUUUCAAAAUUACAAGAUUCAAUCAUCGAAACGACUCAGUGAAUAGUGCAAUCAAAAUAUUAUUUCAAACUUGUACCUUGUUAAGUAUUAAUAAGGUAACCGCAAGUGCAGAAAGAACUACUGAUGAGUGAACAGUCACCUGUAAAAAGAAUAGGAAUGCAUGUUAGACAUAAAUAUUAUACGCCAAAAAGCGAUGCGAAACAUAACGCUAGCGAGAUAUUUCGAAAAGGGAGUAUCAUCUUUCAAACGUCUGUUGAUAUUGAAACUAAAUUUCAACGAGAGGCAGUCGCUGAGUUAUAUUUAAUAAA